GUGUCAGCAGCCGCGGUAAUACGGAGGGUGCGAGCGUUGUUCGGAAUCACUGGGCGUAAAGCGCGUGUAGGCGGCCUGCUAAGUCUGAUGUGAAAGCCCGAGGCUCACCCUCGGAAGUGCAUUGGAAACUGGCAGACUGGAGUCCCGGAGAGGAGGGUGGAAUUCCUGGUGUAGCGGUGAAAUGCGUAGAUAUCAGGAGGAACACCGGUGGCGAAGGCGGCCCUCUGGACGGUGACUGACGCUGAGACGCGAAAGCGUGGGGAGCAAACAGGAUUAGAUACCCGGGUAGUCC
rnacentral:rRNA from 1 species